ACAAGCAAACAAGGGCGUACGGUGGAUGCCUUGGCUCUCAUAGGCGAUGAAGGACGUGAUAAGCUGCGAUAAGCUCCGGUUAGGUGCAAAUAACCCUCAACCCGGAGAUUUCCGAAUGGGACAACCCAGUAUACGAAGUAUAUUAUCCCGCAAGGGAGGCAAACCCGGAGAACUGAAACAUCUAAGUAUCCGGAGGAAGAGAAAACAAAAAACGACUGCAAAGUUUAGUGAUUCCCCCAGUAGCGGCGAGCGACCGGGGAACAGCCCAAACCAGGAUUGUUUCGGCAUUCCUGGGGUAGUAGGACUGCGGUGUAGAUGAAAUAAAUGAAAUGGAAGGUUUUGGAACAAGCCAUCACAGAGGGUGAAAAUCCCGUACAUGUAAGUUUAUCAAUCUUAGCAGUAUCCUGAGUAAGGCGGGACACGUGAAAUCCUGUCUGAAUCAGCCGGGCCCAUCCGGCAAGGCUAAAUACUCAUGAGAGACCGAUAGUGAACCAGUACUGUGAAGGAAAGGUGAAAAGCACCCCUAACAGGGGAGUGAAAUAGUCCCUGAACCCGUACGCCUACAAGCAGUCGGAGCCCUUUAGUGGGGUGACGGCGUGCCUUUUGCAUAAUGAGCCUACGAGUUACUCAUCUGUGGCAAGGUUAAGUGCCUGAAGGCACGUGAGCCGAAGCGAAAGCGAGUCUGAAUAGGGCGAGAUUCAUUUUCCUUGGAAAAUGAAAGCGCACAAUGUGCGUUAAGUCAUAGGUGGUAGACGCGAAACCUUGUGAUCUACCCAUGUGCAGGUUGCAGGUUUGGUAACACAAACUGAAGGACCGAACCGAUAAGCGUUGAAAAGCUUCCGGAUGACAUGUGGGUAGGGGUGAAAGGCCAAUCAAACUGGGAAAUAGCUCGUACUCUCCGAAAUGCNNNNNNNNNNNAUUAAUUGUGUGCGAGGUAGAGCUACUGUCUGGAUGCGAGGGUUUCACCGCCUAUCAAAUCCGUGCAAACUCCGAAUGCGCACACAUAUAUCAGGGAGUGAGCCCGCGGGUGCUAAGGUCCGCGGACGAAAGAGGAAGAACUCAGCCCAUCAGCUAAGGUCCCCAAUUGUAUACUGAGUUGAGAACAGAACGAGGUGUUAUUGCUUAGACAGCUAGUAUGUUGGCUUGGAAGCAGCCAUUCAUUUAAAGAGUGCGUAACAGCUCACUAGUCGAGCGAUGAUGCGUGGAUAAUACGCGGGCAUAAGUAUACAACCGAAGCUAUGGACUUGUACUUAGGUACAAGUGGUAGGAGAGCAUUCCAUUCAGUGUCGAAUCCGUAUCGUGAGAUAUGGUGGAGCGGAUGGAAAAGCAAAUGUAGGCAUAAGUAACGAUAAAGGAGGUGAGAACCCUCCUCGCCGAAAGAUCAAGGAUUCCCCGGCAAUGUCAUUCAUCCGGGGUUCAGUCGGGUCCUAAGGUUAACCUUAAUGGGAGACCGAUGGCAAACAGGUUAAUAUUCCUGUACACAUAUAUACUGCGAUGCAGUUACGUAGAAGUGACACCGCUGCGUACUCACGGAAUAGUACGUUUAAGCCUCAAGUCGUUGAUUGUGGCAGUUAAGUACGCCACGAGAGAUGAAGGGUGAAAGUACCGCAAGGCUUCGGCUGCGCGGAUAAUGCGGGUAAUCAAGCUACCAAGAAACCCUGCUAAGCUUCAGGUAUAUAUGUCCCGUACCGUAAACGGACACACGUGAUCGGGUAGAGCAUACUAAGGCGCACGAGAUAUUCAUGGCUAAGGAACUAGGCAAAAUAGUCCUGUAACUUCGGGAAAAAGGACGCUUCCCUUUUAGGGUAGCCUCAGUAAAAUGGCCCAGGCGACUGUUUAGCAAAAACAUAUGGCUAUGCCAAAUCGCAAGAUGACGUAUAUGGCCUGACACCUGCCCGGUGCCGGAAGGUUAAGAGGAGAGCUUAGAUGCGAGUCGACGGUUUGAAUUGAAGCCCCGGUAAACGGCGGCCGUAACUAUAACGGUCCUAAGGUAGCGAAAUUCCUUGUCGGGUAAGUUCCGACCUGCACGAAUAUCUGGGUACUGUCUCAGCCAUGUUCUCGGUGAAAUUGUAGUUCCGGUGAAGAUGCCGGAUACCCUCAACGGGACGGAAAGACCCCGUGAACCUUUACUGCAGCUUUGCAUUGAAAUUGGUUACGUGAUGUGUAGGAUAGGUCGGAGACUAAGAAAUGGCAUCGUCAGGUGUUGUGGAGUCGCUGUUGAAAUACGACCCUUUGCUUAACUGAUUUCUAAUCCCUCGUAUUGAGGGAGACAUUGCAUGGUGGGUAGUUUGACUGGGGUGGUCGCCUCCGAAAGCGUAACGGAGGCUUCUCAAGGUACCCUCAUGGCGUUUGGUAAUCGCCAGUAGAGUGCAAUGGCAUAAGGGUGCUUGACUGUGAGACCGACAAGUCGAUCAGGUAGGAAACUAGAGCAUAGUGAUCCGGCGGUUCCGCAUGGAAGGUCCGUCGCUCAAAGGAUAAAAGGUACUCCGGGGAUAACAGGCUGAUCGCUCCCAAGAGCUCAUAUCGACGGAGCGGUUUGGCACCUCGAU
rnacentral:rRNA from 1 species